GCCCCGCCGCAUGCGAUCGAGGAUCCAGCUGUGCUCCCCCCGCCAGAUGUGCAGCGGGGGGGGGCCGUUCUCAGAUCAUUAAUCGACGAAGUGCCUUCGCAGACUUUUGCCAGCAGAUGUUAAUCAAUCAUUAUUUUUUUAUACUGAAACUGAGACUUUGACUGUGCCAUGUCUAAGGUAUAUUAUUAUUAUUAUUAUUAUCGGGGAUCUUUGUAUUGAUCCUGAUUAAGUAAAUUCCAUGUGUGUCUUUUUUUUUUUUCAUUUUUUUCCCCCUUUUUCUUUUGAUUUUUCUUUGCAGUGAACUCCCUCUAUAUUUUCCCUCGGAGGUUGGGGGGGAGGGGGGAAGGGAAGAUGGCAUUUUGUGGCUCGCUUCCUUCUUGCCCAUCAUGGCACAGAUUCUGUACAUUUCUUUAAGCAAGCAAACAAAAAUUUGCGGAGAAGCAAACGAGCGCAGUUUGCUGCAUGCCUGGAAACUGCAAGAGGGAAGGGAGGGGAGGGUCUUGCUCGAAUGUCUCACUCGUGUCUCUCUCCCUCCCUCGCACGCACGCACACACACCCGCACCGCCACCCCGCCGCCCCCUACGGGACCCCCCCCNGGGGGGGGGGCACAGAGGAGAAAGCCCGGAGCAAGGUCAGGUGCAGCCCUAAAGACUGAAUUCUGUAGAGAGCGAUCGGAUCUUAUCUCUAAAUAUCUUCUGUCUUCAUGGGGUAACGGUAAUUUAUCCAGUGACCCAAAAACCUGGCUGCUUUGGAAAGUGGAUAGUAUUGGCAAUCAAAGAAAUAUGAGUGAUGUUUUGCACCUCAAGACUUCAUUCUGUAAGAUGUAUCGACGGGAUUGCCUACCUGUAACUCAGCUUUGUAAGCAGCCUCCCGAGGUUAGCCACGGUGGUAUUACAUGCCUUGUGCUUUGCCAGCCCUGCAAGCCAGCCAAAGUCUGUUAAAGCCUUCAGAGCACAAAGCACUGAUAAGAUGGAUCUCUCACAGAAGCUACUUCCAUUAAUCCUAUGUUGGCACAGAGCUCUUCGGUUAUCAUUUACAUGUAGAGAGGAGCGCAGCUCCGUAGCUGAGCACCAGCCUGGAAGGCUUUCCCUCCUCCAGAGGACUCCAAGCAAGUCAUUAGCUUCUCCACAGCUGUUCCACAUAUGUGAAAUAAAGUGGUGGCCAAGGUGAAUCGGGGGCUGGGUUUAAAGGCAAAGACAGAAGGAGCAGUGGGCUGUUUGUGCUUGGAAGUCUCUGUGAUGCUGGCAGAGGUGAAGCAGCCUCAGCUGUGGUUACUCUGGUUGCUGUUGGUGGUCCCAGCUAACAGCAGCAGCUUCUGCACAGGGCAGGAAGGGAGGAAAUUCAUCCUUUUUUUUUCCUCUAAAGUAAGUGUUCUGGAGUCUGAUUGCUUUGGUUCAGUGAUGCAUGGAUUUCCAUUUGGGGCUGGGAUGUUAAGUUGUAAGCUCAGUGAGCUUCUAAUUUGGGAUGCCUUUUAUGUUAUAAUUGAUUUUGAAUAAUUUCACUUCAUUGUUAGAACAAGCUAUACCUUAAUUCAUGCUAUGUUUGAAGAACUCAGCUGGAAAACUAUUUAUAUCAGGAUGGAUUUUGCUUCAGUGGGGUUGAACAAGAUCAGAGUGUUUCACGAAGCACUGACAUCAAAACAAUCUGGUGGUUGUGCAACUAUUAAAUGAAAGUGUA
rnacentral:lncRNA from 1 species